rnacentral:tRNA from 1 species
UGAGGGUUCGUUCAAUGGCAGGACAGGGGACUUUGACCCCCUUGAUGUAAGUUCGAUUCUUGCACCCUCAG